rnacentral:rRNA from 1 species
CCAAUAGCGUAUAUUAAAGUUGUUGCAGUUAAAAAGCUCGUAGUUGAAUUUCGGGAUCAGAUUGUCGGUCGUGCCUCGGUACGCACUGGCAUUAUUGGUUCCUACCUUCUGAAGAACCGCGAUGUCAUUAAUUUGGUGUCGUGGGGAAUCAGGACUGUUACUUUGAAAAAAUUAGAGUGUUUAAAGCAGGCGCACGCUUGAAUACAUUAGCAUGGAAUAAUGAAAUAGGACGUUUGAUUCUAUUUUGUUGGUUUCUAGGAUUGACGUAAUGAUUAAUAGGGAUAGUUGGGGGCAUUAGUAUUCAAUUGUCAGAGGUGAAAUUCUUGGAUUUAUUGAAGACUAACUACUGCGAAAGCAUUUGCCAAGGAUGUUUUCAUUAAUCAAGAACGAAAGUUAGGGGAUCGAAGACGAUCAGAUACCGUCGUAGUCUUAACCAUAAACUAUGCCGACUAGGGAUCGGAUGAUGUUAAUUUUUUAAUGACUCAUUCGGCGCCUUGCG